CAUUAAAAGAGUGCGUAAUAGCUCACUGGUCGAGUGACCCUGCGCCGAAAAUUUAACGGGGCUAAAUCAUACACCGAAGCUUGGGAUUGACAGAUAUUCUUCAUGUUUUCAGGCAGGAUAGGAAAGAGAGAAAAUCUUAUGACGCCGAAGAAUGAGGCGGCAUUAAAUUUCUGUUCAAGUAAAAGCAUGAAGAUGUGAAGAAUAUCUGUCGAUGGUAGGAGAGCGUUCUAUGUGGGGAGAAGUCUGAGCGGAAGCGCAGGUGGACUGCAUAGAAGUGAGAAUGCCGGAAUGAGUAGCGCGAAAUAUGUGAGAAUCAUAUUGGCCGAAAGUCUAAGGUUUUUGGAGGAAGGUUCGUCCGCUCCAAGUAAGUCGGGAGCUAAGGCGAGGCCGAAAGGCGUAGUCGAUGCACAUACGGUAGAUAUUCCGUAACCGCCGAAGGAUUAAAGCAAAGGGACACCUGCGAAGCGUGUAACCCGGGCGAUGGUUGCCCCGGGCGUAAGGGACCGAAAUUUAGUAGGGAAGUACAUGUAGAGCAGGGCGAGAAAAGCUUUGUGUAUAUCCAAGGCGCCCGUACCGCAAACCGACACAGGUAGAUAGGAAGAGAAUUCUAAGGCCAACGGGAGAAGGGUAGUUAAGGAACUCGGCAAAUUGGUCCCGUAACUUAGGGAAAAGGGACGCUCCAGAGAUGGAGCCGCAGUGAAUAGGCCCAGGCGACUGUUUAGCAAAAACACAGGUCUCUGCCAAAUCGAAAGAUGAAGUAUAGGGGCUGACACCUGCCCGGUGCUGGAAGGUUAAGAGGAGAUGUGCAAGCAUUGAAUUGAAGCCCCAGUAAACGGCGGCCGUAACUAUAACGGUCCUAAGGUAGCGAAAUUCCUUGUCGGGUAAGUUCCGACCCGCACGAAUGGUGUAACGAUCUGGGCACUGUCUCAACUACCCGCCCGGCGAAAUUGUAGUACCGGUGAAGAUGCCGGUUACCCGCGACAAGACGGAAAGACCCCAUGGAGCUUUACUGUAGCUUGAUAUUGGGUUUCGGUAAUUUAUGUACAGGAUAGGCGGGAGACAAGGAAGCCAGUACGCCAGUAUUGGUGGAGUCGUCCUUGGGAUACCGCUCUUAAGUUGCUGGAAUUCUAACCUGCGGCCGUGAAUCCGGCCGGGGGACAUUGUCAGGUGGGCAGUUUGACUGGGGCGGUCGCCUCCAAAAGAGUAACGGAGGCGCUCAAAGGUUCGCUCAGCACGGACGGAAACCGUGCUUUUGAGUGUAAACGCAGAAGCGAGCCUGACUGCGAGGGUGACGGCCCGAGCAGAAACGAAAGUUGGAGUUAGUGAUCCGGCGGUAUGUGAAUGGAAAUGCCGUCGCUCAACGGAUAAAAGCUACCCUGGGGAUAACAGGCUGAUCUCCCCCAAGAGUCCACAUCGACGGGGAGGUUUGGCACCUCGAUGUCGGCUCAUCACAUCCUGGGGCUGUAUUCGGUCCCAAGGGUUCGGCUGUUCGCCGAUUAAAGUGGUACGCGAGCUGGGUUCAGAACGUCGUGAGACAGUUCGGUCCCUAUCUGUCGUGGGCGCAGGAUAUUUGAGGAGCUCUGUCCUUAGUACGAGAGGACCGGGAUGGACGCACCGCUGGUGCACCAGUUGUCACGCCAGUGGCACAGCUGGGCAGCUAAGUGCGGAUCGGAUAAACGCUGAAAGCAUCUAAGCGUGAAGCCGGCUCCAAGAUAAGAUAUCCCAUUCCGUAAGGAAGUAAGACCCCUUGAAGACUACAAGGUUGAUAGGCUGCGUGUGUAAGCGCCGCGAGGCGUUCAGCUUGGCAGUACUAAUAGGUCGAGGGCUUGACCUU
rnacentral:rRNA from 1 species